UACGGAGGAUCCAAGCGUUAUCCGGAAUCAUUGGGUUUAAAGGGUCCGUAGGCGGUUUGGUAAGUCAGUGGUGAAAUCCCUUCGCUCAACGGAGGAACGGCCAUUGAUACUGCCAGACUUGAAUUACUGGGAAGUAACUAGAAUAUGUAGUGUAGCGGUGAAAUGCUUAGAUAUUACAUGGAAUACCAAUUGCGAAGGCAGGUUACUAACGGUGGAUUGACGCUGAUGGACGAAAGCGUGGGGAGCGAACAGG
rnacentral:rRNA from 1 species